rnacentral:rRNA from 1 species
AUAACUAUUGGAAACGAUAGCUAAUACCGCAUAACAGCAUUUAACCCAUGUUAGAUGCUUGAAAGGAGCAAUUGCUUCACUAGUAGAUGGACCUGCGUUGUAUUAGCUAGUUGGUGAGGUAACGGCUCACCAAGGCGACGAUACAUAGCCGACCUGAGAGGGUGAUCGGCCACACUGGGACUGAGACACGGCCCAGACUCCUACGGGAGGCAGCAGUAGGGAAUCUUCGGCAAUGGGGGCAACCCUGACCGAGCAACGCCGCGUGAGUGAAGA